AUGUUGGCUGAAUUUGACCCCGUUAUUCAGGAGCAUGUUCGUCGUAUUACAAAUGAAGAAACUCAUGCUCAUUAUCUUGAUCAUAAGAUUCAGAAUGAAUUGCUACACUUGCUUGCUUCUUCUAUUAGGUCUGAAAUUAUCAAGAAAAUAAAGAGCUCAAAGUAUUUCUCUGUCAUACUUGAUUGUACCCCUCAUGCAAGUCACCAAGAGCAAAUGUCUUUAAUUAUAAGAUAUGUGGAUUCAUCUUCAAGCCUUGGUCUUGAUAUAAAUGAUGUGCGAGGACAAGGUUAUGAUAAUGGAUCAAAUAUGAAAGGAACGCAUCAAUGGGUACAAAGGAAACGUUUGGAUGUAAAUCCUAGAGCUUUUUAUUCAGCUUGUGGUUGUCAUAGCCUUAAUUUAACACUUUGUGAUAUGGCCAAGACUUGUGGUAUAGCAAAGGACUUUUUUGGAAUCAUCCAACGCAUCUAUACAAUUUUUUCCAAUUCUACUAAGAAAUGGCAUAUUUUG
rnacentral:rRNA from 1 species